GACGAACGCUGGCGGCGUGCCUAAUACAUGCAAGUAGGACGCAGUUGCGAACGGGUGAGUAACGCGUAGGUAACUGCCUAUUAGAGGGGGAUAACUAUUGGAAACGAUAGCUAAUACCGCAUACUAGUAGAUGGACCUUCGUUGUAUUAGUUAGUAGGUAGGGUAAUGACCUACCGAGGCAACGAUAACUAGCCGACUUGAGAGGGUGAUCGGCCACACUGGGACGGAGAAACGGCCCAGACCCCUACGGGAGGCAGCAGUAGGGAAUCUGCGGCAAUGGGGGGAACCCUGAACGAGAAACGCCGCGUGAGUGAAGAAGGUUUUCGGAUCGUAAAGCUCGGUUGUUAAGGAAGCGGUACUUAACCAGAAAGGGACGGCUAACUACGUGCCAGCAGCCGCGGUAAUAC
rnacentral:rRNA from 1 species